ACGGCAGUGGGGGAGAGGUCAAACCCAUUGGCUUUAGGUGAAGAGCGAGUCUUCCCAUCAAACAGACCUUGAUGGCAAGGGAGAGAGGUAUGCCAACAGCUUCAAAGCUUUCCCGUGUUCGAACCACGGCUGCCGUA